GUAGGUGGCAAGCGUUGUCGGAAUUAUUGGGGCGUAAAGCGCGCGCAGGCGGUUCUUUAAGUCUGAUGUGAAAGCCCACGGGCUCAACCGUGGAGGGUCAUUGGAAACUGGAGAACUUGAGUACAGAAGAGGAAAGCGGAAUUCCACGUGUAGCGGUGAAAUGCGUAGAGAUGUGGAGGAACACCAGUGGCGAAGGCGGCUUUCUGGUCUGUAACUGACGCUGAGGCGCGAAAGCGUGGGGAGCAAACAGGAUUAGAUACCCUGGUAGUCCACGCCGUAAACGAUGAGUGCUAAGUGUUAGGGGGUUUCCGCCCCUUAGUGCUGCAGCUAACGCAUUAAGCACUCCGCCUGGGGAGUACGGCCGCAAAGGCUGA
rnacentral:rRNA from 1 species